rnacentral:tRNA from 1 species
GGACGGUUAGCUCAGCUGGUUAGAGCGCGUCGUUUACACNNUGGUUAGAGCGCUACAUUGACAUUGUAGAGGUCAUAGGUUCGAGUCCUAUACCGUCCACCA